CAGGUACCCACAAGCAAAGAGCACAUAAUUGAAUAGCAGAUGUGAUGGGCUAAGGAUAGAGAGCAAAUAUUUACUCAGUACAAAGCACUAUUGGAAUUUGAAACUUGAUUUCUGUGCUCAAGGAGUUGAAAACUUUAACCAAUAAGUCUCAGGCUGAAAUUGAAUGCAAAGGCAGUUUUGAGAUGCACAGACUGACCUGAUGCUCAGAGAAGUGAAACGGCCUUGCCGCAGCAUCUGAAACAGGGGUGCCAUCCGGCAGGAGAGCGUUCCUACAGAAUGAUUCUCCAGGUCCGCACGAGGGGAGCCGCUGUGGCAGGGAGGGCCGCACACACAGCUGCCUGUCCAGGAGGGCAGGGGGUCUGCAGUAGUUUGAGCGUGCACCGACACUGACCAGGACGCCAUGUGCCAGUGGACACUUAUGUG